CACACACACACUCAUGGCAAAGAGAGAGAAAAGUGUGCUUUAGUGUGCUUUUGUGUAGUCCAAGGCUUGGAGUGUGUUCUAGGAAGUCUUUUGCUAAUAUUUAUGUGAACACUUUUCUGAAGCAAAGAAAGAACUGCUAUGAAGAAGAAGAGGAUUAUCAGGACUAUUCCGACACAUAGAUGGUUCCUUGUUCAGUUGUUGUAAGGCUGGAUAGCCUACCUUUUGGGACUACCCUGUUGUAGUUCAUUAGCCUAACUUAAGACAGUACUUAUAAUUCUCCAGUUAUAUGUAGAUAUUUGACUUGUAUAAUAAUCUAGCCCUGUGAGGCAUGACUGGUAUUACUGUUUGUAUAAUUAUGCUGACUGGCUUAUUAUAUAU